CAGACUGGAAACUCUCAGGGUGGACCAUGGUGGACCGCAGAUUCUGAGACCUGGUCUGAGGAAGUAUGUCUGUGAACUGG